CUUUCCCUCUGCAGAUUUUGCUGUGUAUCCUUUUGCUGCGAUUAAUCUUAGCUGUGAGUAGAAGGUUACGCUGAAUCCAGUGAGCCCUCUUAGCAAAUCCGAGACCCCUGACACCACUCCUUUGGCCUGUUACAUCAUUCCUAGCCUCUCCCGUCCAACUGCUAAGGCCCUUCGUAACCUGCCCUUGCCGCUCCUUCCCCAGGCGCGCCCACUGCUGGAGGACGGGCGCCAGUCUGGAGGGAGCAAGGCCUGGGCCCGGAGUGAAGGGGCCCGGCUGCCGUUCCCAGUGCCCUCUGUCUGUCCUGCUGUCUCCUGUUCGAUUCUGAGUAAUUCACACAACCUCUCUAGCUCUUAACAUCCUUACUUAUAAAAUAUGAACAAAACUACAGGUACAAAUAAUAUCCAGGUGCAGGAUUUUGGUUUUCUGUAUAAAUAAUUUCUUAGCAGUUUGCUACUAAAAGGUGCAUUCUUUCAAAGUUCACCGUUAAGGGAGGCCCAUUUUCUCGAUAACUCCCAUUAUACAAAGUUAAUUUCUGUAUUGUUCUGCAAAAACUUCUGUACUCACUGAAAAAAAAUGUGAGAAAUAUUUCAGAAUUAGAUGUUCACAGGAAAAUAUAGUAUGGUACAAAAAUAGGAUUAAUACUCAAAAUGUCACAACGUAAUCUCCCGAGUAAUAAUACUGUUUUUGAAAGUUACUGUCAGAAAAGAAAGGAAUUAAGAGAAAUGAGCAACCCAGUACUUGGCAGGAAAGGAGUUGGGUUCCUGUUCAGCCAGAACCCCGGGCCUCAGGAUGAGGCAGGUGAUACAGAUGGGGAACAGCCCCUUCUGAAACAUUAUGAACCCCCUUUGUGAAGGAAGGUCAAAUGUUUCAACAAGAGCCCACUGAAAACCCUCUCUGAGUUUACUGCUGCAUCUGUGUACAUACCUUGCUAAUUUGUCACUUCUAGAACCAACUAUAGUUGAAAUUCAUUUUCCCAGUGAUCAACAAAAGACCAACAAAAGCCACUGAGGGAGCCACACAUAAGACUCUGCAGCCUGAAAUAGGUUCCUGGCUCGGCUUAUAGGCAGCUCCAUCCCUUUGAGGUGUAGGUAUCAUCCAUGUUUGAAUGAAGUUGUUUUUACAAUUACUUACAGAAUAAAUUAUAUCUCACUGUUCUGUGUAAUUCUUGGCACAAAGGAAAAUGAAUUACAACUUGUGAAUUGCAAAGCCUAAGCAGAAGGGUGUGGCAUCUCGUCUUUGGAGAGCAUGCAAACGUUCUCUUAACCAUUUCCUACUCAGAAGUUGCCAUCUCAGCUAAAAUCUGUUUCCAAACUCGUUCAGCACGUGUCCUUAGAACGAAGAAUUUCUGACAGAUUGGUCAGACCAGCAUGUACUGAGGACAAAGGGAAAGGUGAGACGACAUUGUAGGUGAACUCCAUGUGUUCUCUACUGCAGAUUUUCCUACCAAAAACUGAAAAGCAAAGCUUUGGAACCAGAGAAAAACCAGAGAACAGUUAGCAUAGCAAAGUCACGAAUGAACAAACAUUUUAAGAGGCAUCAUGCACUAAAGAAUAAUUUCCACAUUUCCUUGGCUGAAUUUACAUGUGGACCUGCUUAAAUAUUUAUCAAAUUCAGAGUCAUAACCACUAAAAAUUGUCACUUCUCAUAAUUAUACAUUAAUGCUAAGAAUACAAAAAUUCUACCUCCAAAUCCUAAGAGGGACUUUGAACACAGGUAGAGGCAGACAAGAGGGCAAGCUGUGGCGCAGCAACUUCAGGUGCUGCGGGCUGACGCUCGGCCUUCGUUCCUCCAGGAAUACCCUCAAUGAAAUACAAAAGGAUCCAGGGUGGUGAAAGCUCUUGUUUGAUUAUCACAUCCAGAUACUCUCCUUGGAGUCAACGCUCAGAAAACAAGCCCGGAGCAGGAAGCAAUCACUGCACAGCAUUUUAGGGUGUCCUUCAGAUGCUUCUCCUCAUAUUUUUCCUGGUUCCCAGUGCGGCUUCUCCGCAUGACUGUGCAGCACACUCGCGAGAGUGCCAUGGGAGCAGCUCCCAGAGGCAGCAAACAGGGCGCCCAUGGUGUCACAGGGCUUGCUGUGACCCACGGCUCCCAAGCAGCAUCCUAGAAUCUUGGGCGUGGUAUCGAGUUUUCAGUUUAAUUAUGUAUAUGGAUAUUUUUAAAUCCUUAGUUUUCCAAUUGUGAUAUUAAUACACACUUCACACAUCUACAGACAGGGAUGUUAAGAUCAAAACAGAAUAAUUAUACCGGUAUUUUUUUCCUUCAUUUUGCCAAGGACUCCACUGAAAUUCUUCUCUGCCACUUUCUUUCCCCAUGUUUCCUCCAGCAGAGUCUGAGUUCAUUUUGAUUGCUUUGUUCCCUAAAGUACAACAAUAUCAGCAGGACUAUACCGGCCCCAGCAACAAGCAGAGAUUCUCCACUAAGCACACGGGGCAGAUUCCCACACACCAGUCGACCAAACGGAGGCUCCCGAGGGGAAGGAAUUCCGACACGCCAGUCCACCAGACGGAGGCUCCCGAGGGGGAACGAAGCUUUC
ensembl:lncRNA